AACGAACGCUGGCGGCAGGCUUAACACAUGCAAGUCGAACGCUCCGCAAGGGGAGUGGCAGACGGGUGAGUAACGCGUGGGAACAUACCCUUCGGUUCGGAAUAACUCAGGGAAACUUGAGCUAAUACCGAAUACGGUCGAGAGGCGAAAGAUUUAUCGCCGAAGGAUUGGCCCGCGUCCGAUUAGCUAGUUGGUGAGGUAAUGGCUCACAAAGGCGACGAUCGGUAGCUGGUCUGAGAGGAUGAUCAGCCACAUUGGGACUGAGACACGGCCCAAACUCCUACGGGAGGCAGCAGUGGGGAAUAUUGGACAAUGGGCGAAAGCCUGAUCCAGCCAUGCCGCGUGAGUGAUGACGGCCUUAGGGUUGUAAAGCUCUUUCAUCAGGGAC
rnacentral:rRNA from 1 species